CCUCAGUAGUCAGUACUGUUUGGGAGUCUUCCCAAUUUAAAGCCCUCUACGCUACCCAUAAGAACAGUGUAAGCUCCCAUAGAUGAUCACAACAUUCUUUUGGCUUAGUUAACCAUCUGGGUCACUCUCACGCCUAUUCUUCAAAAUCCCAAGAUUCAACUUCCCCCGCACCGCCAUUCCUCGAGCUUCGAGUAAAGCAAGCGGGAGAGAGCAGAAAAGCAACCUAGGUCAACUCUGAACUCUCUUUCGCCAAUUUUUUGAUCCGAUUCGACCUCAGGUGGGCAACUCGAUUGUGGUCCUUUGUGGAGCAGUAUUAUCAAUUGAUCAUAUACUUCACCACUCUCCCCGCCAGGGUUUACAGGUUUUAUUUACAAUUCAAUAUUUGAACUUUUAAGUUUUUGCACAAUUCGGCAUUCAAACUUUAUCAUUUGAACACAAAUCAUUCAAAAUUCACAGAUGGCAUAAUAAUUAGGGCCAGAUUAACAUCUCACCCGGUUUAACUCCUUGUACUAGUCAUUCUAAAGUUGACAGAAGGUUAUAUAGUUUCAAAACUUUUACACAACAUAGGGUAUCAGGAACUUAUGGAGAAGAAAGAAGAGUAAGAUGAAGUCUUCUCCAAGAGAACUGACUCUAUAUGAUAGGUUUAUAAUAGUUGGGCAGGCUUCCUUCUCCAUUCAGUGCGACUCCUGUUUAUUUCUAACCCACUGCCAGAUAAUCUCAAUAAAUGUAAGAAGCACUUGUUUAGAUUGAUCAUAGCCGUGGGCGAUCCAUUUGUUCCGUUUAGUACUGAAGAAGCUGCAUUGUCGAUCAGUUCAAGGCUUGUGAGGGAAUCAACCACAUCAUCUUGCUGGCAUUCGCGCCUGUAAUCUAAUGUGAUGGUUUGUAGCUCGUGUGUGUCGAUGAUUUCUUGAGGCAUGCUCUGCAAUAAAACCAUGCAGCUUAAAGGUUAUUGAAGCAACUUAGAAGGGCACAAACAUUUGGUUCUUACAAAUGUAACUAUUGGGAAAGAGUAAAUGAGUAAUACCAAAUCAAAGUACAACACUUUGACCAUGAAGUAAAACAACAUUGUGUUUGGGGACAUCUGACAAUCUCAACCAAGUUGGUCAAAUUGUUGGGCUUGGUAACCAUAAGACUACAAGUUUGACUCCCGGUGAGAGUAAUUUAUAUUAGCCUUCUUGGUUUGAAUUGGUCAGCUAUGAUAACGAGUGAAAUGUUGUGGACUGGGGUAAAAAGGUUCAUGUUGAUUGCAGAAAAGUACACUCUGAAUUUGAAUGUGCUGGGACACAUUGAAAUAUCAAGUAAUUCCAAGAAAGAAGCUGCAUUAAAGUACAAGGCUACAAACCUCAAGGACCCAUCCAAUGUAGGUGACAUUAUUUACAUGUUGGUUCAUAUCCAAAUCAGCUCUUCUUGGCUGCCAAAAUCACUAAAUAUGUAAAUAUCUGAGAAUAGAAGUUUACCUGGACAUUUUUAUUUUCAAACUGAUACUACUUACCACCA